ACUAUAUUGCACACCAAAUAGACUCUUCUGGUUCAUUUUAAGCAGGAUAGGAAUCAUGUCAAGUGGAAUGAAUGGAUACCAAUUAUUUUGUAAAGAAGAAGCUUCUAACGAUGACUCCUUAAAGUCUUUGUCAUUUCACGCUAGAAAUGUUGAAUUGGGACAACGAUGGC